AAUGAAAUUUUUUGAUAAGAAAUAAUCAUCAAUAAUCAUUUCGUUGUGAAGUGAAACAAGAGUCGUCUUAAUUUUAGUUAGCUCAGAGAGCGCCAAAAGCACCCUAACUAGUUUCAAUCCUUCUUAGGGCUUCUUCAGACAGUGCAUAUUUGAUUCUCUCUGAACCACUAAAAUUUGGACCUCCGGUAUCGGUCCACAACGCAAUCACAUAAUGGCAUGGAUGCCGCGACGGCAUCUGCUAGAGAAGAAUGAAAGUUUUACUUUUAAUAUUAACAAUAUGUAAUGAUACAUCGAUACGCCGAGCGCGCAUCGACACUUGGAACCGAGCGAUUCUCUCAAAUCGCGCAGAUGCCCCCACUAAGUUCUCCACCUCUCCGAACCAGCACCGGCAGAGGGAUAUUUAAGAGCACCGCAAGCGACGAUCCGACAGUCCUGAACGACCGUUCUGGGCUCCAUAACCAGCCAAGCGAAGUGAGCGAGGCAGGCCGACCUGAGUCGCGACGUGCACCGUAUUGAAGUGAUUCGCAAACUUAGGCAGGCCAACUCGAGACGAAAGGUGUACCGAAGUGAGACGCCCAUCCGGAGGAGGACUUCGCUGGGACAAAAUAGAAAAUUGAAUUAUUAUUUUGACUUAUUUUGUACAUAAUUUAGAAUUAAUAGAUUUGCUUUGUUUUCAA